rnacentral:lncRNA from 1 species
ACCAUGGAAUGGCUUGAGUAGGAAGGACCUCAAAGGUCAUCUAGUUCCAACACCUACUGCCUGGACAGGCACCAAGUCAGGCUGCCAGGGCCCCAUCCGACCUCACUUUGAACACCUCCAGGGAUGGGUCAAUCAUACCUUCACUGAGCAGCCUGUUCCAGCACCUUGCCACUCUCUCAGUGAAAAAUUUCCCCAGUGAAUCAUAAAGUCAUCUCAGUUUCAAAAUGAAGGGAGAAAAUCUUUGCAGUGCUCAUUAAGCUUCACAGUUGGACUUGUUUGUUGGGGAUUCCUUAAUUCAUUUUUUUCUUUCAUCUUGGAGAAAAUCUGGUGUGGGUGUAAGCUAUUUGGAGGAAGGAUCGCACCUCUGGAUCCAUACUGUAUAUAAGAAAUCUUCGGAAAACUGAGAAAAUCUAUCCUCCAACACUGGAAGACGAUAUUACUGUCAAAAUAAAUAAUCAGUAUUUGGGAUAUCUGGCUUCUUUUCUCCAAAUCCUCUGUGAAUUUAAGCAAGUCAUUCAGCAGCCCCUUGAAUGCCAAAGCUCCUGUUGCUGGAAACCUUACUAAGGAAGGAAUAAAAGAGCAUAUGUAAUUUGUAGGUGAGUUUGU